GCCCCCUCGCCUCGGCCUCCAGCAGCUUUCCAAACGGACCGAGGCCCGCGGGCGGCGCAGCCAAUGGGGUUCGCUCGGCGUUUGCUUUCUAGCGAAUGGGAAAAAAACGAUCUUUUCUCCACCUCGGCCAAUCAGAGAGUGGAUGGUGGCUUGGGCGACCUAGAGCCAUCUCUCCGACGUCAAACGGAGGAUUUGGGAGAGGCUGGAGUUUCAGGGCCCAGGGAGUAGAACUCUGGGUUGGCCUCGGAGGGGCCGGAUUUGGGCUUUCUAACAUGGAGCGGACUAUCGCUCAUGUUUUGUUUUUUGUUUUGUUUUUUUCCCCUCUGUCUUUUGUUCUUCGAGACAGGGUUUCUCUAUGUAGCUCUGGCUGUGCUGGAACUCACUGCGUUGACCAGGCUGGCGUUGAGUUCAGAGGUCUGCCUGCCUCUGGCCUGCGCCUCCACAUCCGGCCUCACGCUCUUUUCCUCUAAGCUGUAAAAUUAGAGGAAAGACGACUGGAAUCAGUUGUCUCCUUCUACCACGUUGGUCCUGGGCAUCGAACUGGGGCCUGCAGGCUUAAUAGCGGUCUCCUUUAUUUCGCUGGGAUUUGCUCUCCAGGCUGCUGUAACACUGAAGGUGCGUGUUGGUGCAAGGCUAUAAUCCAAGCAUUCCAGAAGUAGAAGGAGGUCAGAGAAGUUGAGGGCCAACCUUGGCUACCUAGCCAAGGGUGCAGCCUGAGCUACAUGAAGUCCUGUCUCCAAACAAAACAAAACCACUUUGAGAUGCAUGGAAUAGAUGGCUGAACAUUGCA